AAUCUCUCUGUGUGAAAAAGUCUAGUUGCCGCUUCGAAAAUAUUGAAUUAUUCGCAUAAAAUAGCAAUACCGACUGGAUUAACUAAACGCAAAGGAUCAAUAAAGAGUGCUGCGCGUUUGUGUCGUCCAUGUGAUGCCAAAUACCCAAUAGAUAACAGAAGAAACCAACUAAACCCCAGGCUAGAAGGUGAAAGAGCAGCAAAUGAAACAAUAACAAAAUAACAAUUGAUGUGCCAUUCAUUCUGAGAGAAAAAAAGAGAGAGAGAGAGACAACAUUAAAGCUAAGCGUGAGAAGAGACAAAAAGAGAGAGUAUUAUCAGCAGCAUUGCAAAUGUCAGGAAUCCCUCCAUGAAAUCAACAGAAUACAGAAACAAAAGUCAGCUACCAAAAAAAAACAAAAGAAACACCUGUAAACCAACAUCGUCAUCAAGUGCAGGUGCCACAGUGUAUAUACAAGUGUGAACGAAUUUAAGAACAAAAAACCGUCAAA
rnacentral:sRNA from 1 species